CCCAGCUUAGCCCCAUUUCCACCAGCGGUUGCCCCAAACAAGACCACCAAACAGUCACUGUGCGGAGAAGAAGCCGUCAUGACCACAGAGGGGGGGGAACAGCUACAAUCAAAAGCAGAGGAGUUCUUUAUCAGCAGGUGGAAUGCAAACUCCUGUCCAAAAUGCACAAGCUCCAGUGAUGGGAUUCAGCCAGUUUGCACCACUUUGGCAGAACCGGUAGCUCAUUUUUUGUUGCCCAGGCCCAGACUGGACUUCCAGAAGCGGCACCCACACAGAGAACCGGUUGUUCACCUAUUUGAAUCCCACCAUUGACGAGCUCCCUCCAAAGGUUUUUUGGUUCCAAAUAUUUUGUGUUUGGCUCCCCUCUGGUCACCUGCCUAUUUCUGUCACCUGAAACGUAAGAACAGUUCUCUUUGGAUCACAAGGAAUGUGGCCAAAAUCGUUGAAGUGAAGAGUCCAUUUUAUAAAGCCGUAGGAGUUAUAACCGGAUCCUCCACAGGGCAAAACUCGCACAAAAUGAAAUGUCCCUGCUGAUGUGAGUCAAAAGCCACAAUCUCAAAUUCUAAGGCUAGUUUUCUCAGUUUAUGGAGAAGCAAAACAUUUUGGGGUUGAAGAAAACCAGCUUCUGAAGCAGUGUUUUUCAAACGUGAUAACUUCAAGAAUUCUGGAGUUGAAGUCCACAGAUCCUAAGAGUUGCCAUGUUUGGAAAACAAGAUUCUAAAGAAUAGCGACCAACUGGACAAGUCUUCCAAAUGCAUUGGCAGAUCACCAAUGUCUAUGAAAAAAAAAACCAUUGCCUGUUUAAAUUUCAAUUCCCUUUUAAAAUGAAUCUCAGCAGAAAAUCUGUCUUUAUUAAAAGCAGCUACACUGUA